rnacentral:rRNA from 1 species
UACGAAGGGGGCUAGCGUUGCUCGGAAUUACUGGGCGUAAAGGGAGCGUAGGCGGACUGUUUAGUCAGAGGUGAAGGCCCAGGGCUCAACCUUGGAAUUGCCUUUGAUACUGGCAGUCUUGAGUACGGAAGAGGUAUGUGGAACUCCGAGUGUAGAGGUGAAAUUCGUAGAUAUUCGGAAGAACACCAGUGGCGAAGGCGACAUACUGGUCCGUUACUGACGCUGAGGCUCGAAAGCGUGGGGAGCAAACAGG